rnacentral:rRNA from 1 species
GGUCAAGCGAACAAGUGCAUGUGGUGGAUGCCUUGGCGAUCACAGGCGAUGAAGGACGUGGUGGCCUGCGAAAAGCUUCGGGGAGUUGGUAAGCAAGCAUUGAUCCGAAGAUAUCCGAAUGGGGAAACCCACUCCUAUUGGAGUAUCUAUGACUGAAUAUAUAGGUCAUAAGAAGCGAACGCGGUGAACUGAAACAUCUAAGUAACCGCAGGAAAAGAAAUCAACCGAGAUUCCCAAAGUAGCGGUGAGCGAAAUGGGAAAAGCCUGUACUCUUUAUUCUAUCUAUUAGUUGAACACUCUGGAAAGAGUGGCCAUAGUAGGUGAUAGCCCUGUAAGCGAAAAUAGUAUGAAAGAACUAAGUGUACGACAAGUAGGACGGGACACGUGAAAUCCUGUUUGAAGAAAGGGGGACCAUCCUCUAAGGCUAAAUACUCGUGAUCGACCGAUAGUGAACUAGUACCGUGAGGGAAAGGUGAAAAGAACCCCGGGAGGGGAGUGAAAUAGAUCCUGAAACUGCAUGCAUACAAACAGUCGGAGCCCUGAAAGGGGUGACGGCGUACCUUUUGUAUAAUGGGUCAGCGACUUACGUUCAGUAGCAAGCUUAACUGUAUAGGGUAGGCGUAGCGAAAGCGAGUCCGAAUAGGGCGUUUAGUUUCUGGACGUAGACCCGAAACCAGGUGAUCUAUUCAUGGACAGGAUGAAGGUGCGGUAACACGUACUGGAGGUCCGAACCCACUAACGUUGAAAAGUUAGGGGAUGAUCUGUGGAUAGGGGUGAAAGGCCAAACAAACCUGGAAAUAGCUGGUUCUCUCCGAAAACUAUUUAGGUAGUGCCUCGUGUUUCACCUUUGGGGGUAGAGCACUGUCAUGGUUGGGGGGUCUAUUGCAGAUUACUCCGCCAUAGCAAACUCCGAAUACUAAAGAGUGCAAUCACGGGAGACAGACAUCGGGUGCUAACGUCCGGUGUCAAGAGGGAAACAACCCAGACCGCCAGCUAAGGUCCCUAAAUAUAGCUAAGUGGGAAACGAGGUGGGAAGGCUAAAACAGUCAGGAGGUUGGCUUAGAAGCAGCCAUCCUUUAAAGAAAGCGUAAUAGCUCACUGAUCGAGUCGUCCUGCGCGGAAGAUGUAACGGGGCUAAGCUAUAUACCGAAGCUGCGGAUACGUGUUUACACGUAUGGUAGGAGAGCGUUCCGUAAGCCUGUGAAGAUGUACUGUAAAGUACAUUGGAGGUAUCGGAAGUGCGAAUGCUGACAUGAGUAGCGAUAAAGGGGGUGAAAGGCCCCCUCGCCGUAAGCCCAAGGCUUCCUACGCAACGUUCAUCGGCGUAGGGUGAGUCGGCCCCUAAGGUGAGGUAGAAAUGCGUAGCCGAUGGGAAGUGGGUUAAUAUUCCUACACCAUUGUUAGAUGCGAUGGGGGGACGGAUCGCUGAAGGUUGUCCGGGUGUUGGAAGUCCCGGUCUCUGCAUUAGAGAAGGCGUUUAGGUAAAUCCGGGCGCGGAAUUCAAGAGUGCGGAGCGAGCUUCUUAUGGAGCGAAGCAAUUAAAAGUGGUUCCAAGAAAAGCCUCUAAGCUUCAGUCUAACAAUGACCGUACCGCAAACCGACACAGGUGGGCGAGAUGAGUAUUCUAAGGCGCUUGAGAGAACUCAGGAGAAGGAACUCGGCAAAUUAGUACCGUAACUUCGGGACAAGGUACGCCCUUGUAGCUUGAUGUGCCUGCGCACUAAGGGUGAAGGGGUUGCAAUAAACUGGUGGCUGCGACUGUUUAAUAAAAACACAGCACUCUGCAAACACGAAAGUGGACGUAUAGGGUGUGACGCCUGCCCGGUGCCGGAAGAUUAAAUGAUGGGGUGCAAGCUCUUGAUUGAAGUCCCGGUAAACGGCGGCCGUAACUAUAACGGUCCUAAGGUAGCGAAAUUCCUUGUCGGGUAAGUUCCGACCUGCACGAAUGGCGUAACGAUGGCCACACUGUCUCCUCCUGAGACUCAGCGAAGUUGAAGUGUUUGUGAUGAUGCAAUCUACCCGCGGUUAGACGGAAAGACCCCAUGAACCUUUACUGUAGCUUUGCAUUGAAUUUUGCACUGAUCUGUGUAGGAUAGGUGGGAGGCUUUGAAGCGUAGACGCUAGUUUGCGUAGAGCCAUCCUUGAAAUACCACCCUGAUCUGUUUGAAGUUCUAACCUUGGCCCGUAAUCCGGGUCGGGUACAGUGCAUGGUAGGCAGUUUGACUGGGGCGGUCUCCUCCAAAAAGGUAACGGAGGAGUACAAAGGUACGCUAGAUACGGUCGGAAAUCGUAUUAAUAGUGCAAUGGCAUAAGCGUGCUUAACUGCGAGACCGACAAGUCGAGCAGAUGCGAAAGCAGGUCAUAGUGAUCCGGUGGUUCUGUAUGGAAGGGCCAUCGCUCAACGAAUAAAAGGUACUCUGGGGAUAACAGGCUAAUACCGCCCAAGAGUUCAUAUCGACGGCGGUGUUUGGCACCUCGAUGUCGGCUCAUCUCAUCCUGGGGCUGUAGACGGUCCCAAGGGUAUGGCUGUUCGCCAUUUAAAGAGGUACGUGAGCUGGGUUUAAAACGUCGUGAGACAGUUUGGUCCCUAUCUACCGUGGGCGUUGGAUAUUUGAAAGGGGCUGCUCCUAGUACGAGAGGACCGGAGUGGACGAACCUCUGGUGUACCGGUUGUGACGCCAGUCGCAUUGCCGGGUAGCUAUGUUCGGGAGAGAUAACCGCUGAAAGCAUCUAAGCGGGAAACUUGCCUUAAGAUAAGAUAUCCCGGGGCUUGAUCCCCUUAAAGGGCCGUUCAAGACUAGGACGUUGAUAGGUCGGGUGUGUAAGCACAGUAAUGUGUUCAGCUAACCGAUACUAAUUGCCCGUAAGGCUUGACCCU